CUUUAUUACUUUGAAUUUGCCCUGAGCCCCACAGUUUGAAUAGGGAGGCUGCCUCAGAAUUUAUUUUUGAGUAUCAGCUUCCAGAUGGAAAUUCCUAACCUGGGGUCUGAGGAUGGUCUGCAGGGAGUCCUGGUGUCAUAUAGAGAAUUUUUGAGUAGAUGCGUUUUUCUUGGAAGAGGAUGCAGAGUUUUCAUCAGACCAUUGAGGUCUGUUAAGAGCCACCAUCUGAGCCCUAGGGCUCCCUCCAUGGGGGGCAGGCAGAGGGGCCUCAAAUCCUUGGUGGCCGUAUUCAUGAACCGAAGUGACCUGCUCAACAAGGACAUGCCUAUGUGGGUCUGAAAAUACCGGCAAGCUAACAGAGCUCAUGAGAACCACAGUGCCAGAGCCUGCGAGGUGAAUUUCAUUAGCACCCUCUGUGCUGGCCUGACCUUAGCUGGAGCACUGCGCUCUGUUCAAAACAACAUGCUUUUUGUGGUUUUUUUUUUUUUUUGGUUGGUUAGUUUCGUUUUUUUAGAGAUGGAGUCUCACUCUGUCGCGUAGGCUAGAGUACAGUGGCGUGAUCACAGCUCACUGCAGCCUUGAUCUCCCAGGCUCAAGAGCCUUGAUCUCCCAGGCUCAAGCGAUCUUCCCACCUCAGCCUCCCAAGUAGGUGGCCCAUGUCUUCACGCCUGGCUUUUUUUUUUUUUUUGGUGAGAAUCAGUAAUUUUUUUUUUUUUUUUUAACUAGAGAUGGGGUCUUGUCAUCUUGCCCAGGCUGAUCUCAAACUCCUGGACCCAACUGAUGCUCCUCCCUCAGCCUCCACUUUGAGAUUACAGGCGUGAGCCACUGCACCUGGACAAAGACAUAAUGUUUUAAGAAGAACUUGGAUUUCAAGAUGUUCACGCAGAGUCUGUCGAGCUCACCUCUGGAUACCCCAGCUCCUACACGAAGCAAAUGUUUCUUUUUUUAUUUUUUGAGACAGUCUCACUGUGUUGCCCAUGCUGGAGUGCAGUGUCCCAAUCUUGGCUCACUGCAGCCUCCGCCUCCCGGGUUCAAGUGAUUCUCCUGCCUCAGCCUUCUGAGUAGCUGGGACUUCAGGUGUGUGCCACCACACCUGGUUAAAUUUUGUAUUUUUAGUAGAGACGAGGUUUCACCAUGUUGGCCAGGCUGGUCUGGAACUCCUGACCUCAGGUGACCCACCUGCCUUGACCUCCCAAAGUGCUGGGAUUACAGGUGUGAGCCAUUACGCCUGGCCCUGAUGUUUCUUUCUUUUUUUCUUUUUUUUUGAGAUGGAGUCUUACUCUGUCGCCCAGGCUGGGGUGCGGUGGCGCGACCUCAAUUCACUGCAACCUCCACCUCCCGGAUUCAAGUGAUUCUCCUGCCUCAGCCCCCCACGUAGCUGGGAUUACAGGCCAGCACCGCCACGCCUGGUUAAUUUUUGUAUUUUUAGUAGAGAUGGGGUUUCACCAGUUGGCCAGGCUGGUCUUGAACUCCUGACCUACAGUGAUCCACCCACCUCGGCCUCUUAAAGUGCUGGGAUUACAGGCAUGAACCACCAUGCCUGGCCCAAGCCAACGUUUCUACAGGUUUGAAGAACAGAAGCGUGAACAGUUCCUUUGCAACCUCUCCCUGGCUUUUCGCUUUUGGGGUUAGAGUUAAGCUCCAUGGCUGAAGGACCCAGACUUGAGAAAAAAUACAAAGUCAACAGAAUUUGGAG
rnacentral:lncRNA from 10 species